rnacentral:lncRNA from 1 species
GUGUUCCGAGGGCAGUCACUAAAGGCUGGCUGAAGGAGUGAUGCAAACUUUUGAUGGGUGGAAAGCAUACAUUUUAGUGAAGAGGGAAGAAAACACAACCAAGGUAAGAAAAGGAGAUACCUCCCACAACGUACUGCAGAGUUGAAAGAGUCCUAGACUUGGGGACUUGGGUUCUACUCCUGACUCUAACAGUACAUCACUGAGAAAAGUCUUAUAAGUCUCCAGAUGGAGGAAGAUAGGUAACAAAUUGCUGAAGGGACUUGCCUCCUUCAUCUGCAACCAGAACCUGAGACUCCAAAACCUUCUAGUGAUACUUCCACAAAUGAACACGUUUGCUCUUUGCUUAUGUGCUCAGUGAAUGGUUUAUUGAAUUUUCUGACUCAAAAUGGUUAAUUCUGUUGAUUUUUUAAAAUGUCAAAAUUAAAUGGCUGGACUGGAGAUCGAUAAGAUCCUUUUCAACCCUAAAAUUCUAUGGUGUGUUCUACAAUGUUUGUAAAAAGCCAAGUUUUGUUUUGCUAGUGCAGAGUCUCAGGGUCCCCAGGCCAGCCUAAUUCAGUUAGGGUAUGGGAAUACCUUGCUGGAUCAUCAUCUGGGAGGAGAAUAAAUAGUGGCAUGGCCAUCUCUGCUCCAGGAAUUAGACAUGUUGCUCCAGUGUGCUGGACUUCGGUAGUUUUCCCUGCUUGUUAUCCUUUCCUUCUAUUCCUUUCAGCUCUCCCCUUUGGAGAACCACCUCUCUGCCAUUCUCAAUCCAUGUGGUGAUGGUCAGGCUGAACUUCUCACCCAUUCGUCAAGUGGGCACUUGACUAAUGUUCGGCCAACCAGAAUAUUCUACACCCUCUAGCCACAGUGUUUGCUUCAGGAAUGAGAACUUAAGACAGCCUAAUGAAAAUCAGCCUAUAAGGAUUUUUGCCAGAACAAUUGAGAAUGAGACUCUCUCUUUGCUUUAGAGUCACUAAACUACAUGGAUAUAAGCUUGAAGCUGCAGGUGGCCAUCAACCCUUGAGGGGAUCCUGGGCCUGAAAAUGAAGGCAUAAAGGAAAACAAAACUGAGACAUAGAGAGAGAUGAAUUCCUUGAACAUGAUGCCUGAAGUUAGAUUUGCCCCUGGCUGUUUCAGUCCAAUGAGCCAGUAAAUUCCCUCUUUUACUUAAGUUGAUUUUAAUUGGGUUUUGUCACUUGCAAUGAGAAAUGUCCCAACUAACACAGUCGCCUUGAUACUCAGGGUGAUAUGCAGGGAGAGGAGAAAGAGACACCUGCAAUAUAGUGAGCAAAUUCAGUGAGCAAUAGCAUAAAUACAGCUAAAAUACAACUGAUCAGUUAAUACUUGACCCAUUGUAGUCACAGUGAUAAUGUGGUGGGGAGGGUUUGGUAAAGCAGAAUCCUCAAGCAAUUGGCAUCAGGGUCAUCCAGGGAGGUUUUUUUUUUUUUUUCUUUCUUAAGAAUUUAGAUUCCAGGGCUUUACCCAGACCUACUAUUCAGAAUCUGUGAAUAGAGGCCUGGAAUUUGCUUUCCUAAAAGAUUCCCAGGGUAUAAAGUUUGAUAUUCACUGUCCUAGUAAUGAGAGCUCAGACUUUGAAAUUAGAAGGUUUGGGUUUAUAUCUAGUCUCUGCCAUUUACUACUUGUAUGACCUUGGGCUAAUAACCUUCAGUCUCAGCUUUUUCAGUGGUUAAUAAUGCCUCAUAGGGUUGUGAGAAUAAAUAAGAAAAUGUAUUCAUGUAAAAUAUUUACCCUGCUGCUUUUUUAUAUAGGGAAAUUUAGAAACUAUUGUUAUUACUAAAACCUACACCUAUAAGAGAAGGGAGCAGACUUAAGAAAAUGCAAAAGAAACAUAUAAGCAUUACGUUUGAAUUAUGGUGCUCCUUGGAAUCUAUGACAUAGCAGGCAUAGUGGUUAAGACUGAAGUCUCUGGAGUAGGAAUGUCUGAAUGAAACUCUGGUUCUGCCACUUACCAGCUAUGUGACCUCCUGCUGAGCUGCUUGUGCCUUUGCUUUUUCAUCUGUAAAAUGGGAUUAAUAUUGGUACUUAACUUACAUCUUUUUUUGGGGUAAUGAUGAAAUAAGAUCAUGAAUGAGAAGGGCAUAGAUGAUACUUGCUAGUUUUAUUACGACCAUUUUCUUCUUUUCCAAUUACAUUAAUGCUUUUCCCUUGUGGUUAACCCCCACAUAGCUUUAUUCCUCUGAGAUCCUCUUCCACUGGCCUCUGCUCUUUUAUUAAAUAAAGAAAUUAGAUUCAGAGAUGGCCUCCCACUCCCAGCCUUGAACUUGAGUUGAAUCUCCCUAGAGAGGGCCCAAGGCUGGGGAAUGGUAGAGAUACCUGCUUUGUGCUAUGGGGCCCUGGUUUUUAUGCUGACAGCCUACGUGCUUGGAGAAGUGUCUGGAACUUCAAGUUGACAUUUGCAAUGUGUCAAAGCCCUGAGCAUUUCCUUUCUAACCGAGCCCUAGGAAACCUCAGGGCCCAAUGUAUUAAGCACAUGAAGAACUCAGGGCCCAAUGUAUUAAGCAAAUGAAGAAAAAGCAGCCGUGUUUGGGCAGUAAGUCAUGCUGAUGGAUGUAGCACUCCAGUCCUGCCUACUAUAUCUGUGUAGGUAUUGAACAUCCAAAGAUCUGUUCCAUACAACUUUUCAAGUGAAAAAAAAAUAACAGCAAGCCUCAUAACAAGAAAAUAAUUGCAGGAGCAAAAUGACAAUGUUUGGCAGUGCUGCAAAAGUGCUUGGAAGAAUUUGAGGAAAUAUCUGUACCUGAAAUACAAGUUGUGCCUCAUCUUCCUCAUUUAUUAAGUUGAAACAUAAUAUUUAAUGUUGCUUUUAAUCUGGAUUAUUUAAGAUUCUUAGAUUCAAGAUUCUAUGACAUUAUCCAAAGGCACUUCUCUUAGGAAGUCUCUCUGUUCCCACUGGUUUCCAACAGUGGGAGGUGGGAUGGGUGACAUCUGCAGAUAAAACCAGGCCGUGCUGUUGAACAGUUGGCAAAUCCAAGUGAUUCUCUUCUCCCUGGAAUGGGUGCAGGGUUGCAUAUUAAUUUACAAUUACUCAUAAAGUAGACAGCAAAGGCUUCUCUUUUGUCAACACUUAGACAUACAAAUUAGGUAAUAUUGAAUGGGCAAUGAAUAUUUCAUUUCCACCUUGCCUCCUGGUGCCAAUCACUGUAAAUGAGGCUAGAUUAAUAUCCGAAAUGACUCACACUCCGUUAGGUAUCCAAGUCUGGGCCCCUCAGACUCGCUCUAUUUUGGCCUUAAUUUGUCAGCUGGAUUUUGUUAGUGACUAUGCAAGACAGAAGCAGGAACACAUAGUUUACCUCAACUUUAUGCUGGACAUGAACUUCAGUGUUUCAAAGUGAUCUUUGGUUCUGAUAAUAUGGCAGAGCAAACUUGUACAAAGGAUGAAUAAAAAAUAGAAAUAGAAUUUUUAAAAAUAUUCCGGCAUAAAAGAAAAAAAAAAUCCCCAGGUACAAGAAUUGAAGAGAGAAAUCAAAGCCAGGGCAGUAAUGGAGAGUUGGUAUUUCAGCAAAAUUUUCUGACCCAGAUAUAAGCCCUAAGAGCUGAAGGUUGGGGAUUUAACACCCACUGGGGUACAGGAAAUGUGGCCUCAAGCCCUUGCUAGGUAGGGAAAAUAGAACUAAGCUUCAGCAUAAAGCCAUGAGCCUUGAAAAGUUGCAUUGUCCGUGGGAUGGUGACUACAAAAACUCCACAUCUGAGUCCAGGAAAGAAGCAAGUAAGCUUGCCACCCAUCUAGAACCCCAGUUAAAAAAAAAAAAAAAAAAAGAAAAAGAAGCUGUGUCCAAAAAAUCAAAACCCCAGGUCUGGGCCACAUAUGGGCAUGGUAUCUAAAUGUAUACCAGUGAUAAGUUAGCAUAGAUUGCCUAAGUCUAUGAAACCCCUAGGAUAUAAUAGGGGAAAUUGUGAAACUGAAUUGUUGGGACAUUUUUACAAAUCAGGGCAUGAAGUACUCACACCCAGAAAUUUACCAUCAUAAGGAAGAUACUAAAUGCUUCAAAAGGAUAAUUAGCACCUUAAAGAUUCGAAAUAAUAGAAAUAUCUUUAUGAGACUAUAAAAUAAGAGCAUUUAAAAUUAUUAAAGAUAGAAGAAGUAGUAUGAUACAAGAAGCAGAAAAUUCAAAAGAAAUAUAUAAAUAGGACUCAUGCAUAAGUUGGUUUGCCCAGCACGGAGGGAUUUCUCAGGAGACAAGAUUCUCAAUACUAAGGGAGACUCUCAUUAGGCAAAGCAUGUGGUGGUCAUGUUACUUCCACUGGGUAACCAAAGAGGUUUUAAUGAAGAGACCGUUUACAAACGUGUGGACAGAAUUUGGGGAAACCAGCAAGGAACAAUACAGCGCCCUGGACCUAACCACAGGGAGCCACUACUACCAACUCUGGGAGGGAAACGGCCGACAGAAGUCAGGACUAACUUGCAGCUCCCACUCAGGCAGGCAGAGCAGCGUGUGGAGACCCACAUCGUAAACUUUUGCUCCAUUACUAUCCUCAAGUCUGAAGGGGCAAGGAGAGGGUGCCAUUACUGAAACUCCGAGAAAUAAGCCCCACGGAGAAGCCCUUAAUGGAAGGAAAUAGGAAAGAAGCAAGGAGAAUAAGCACACCAUUUUCACUCUCCACCUACCUUCCCUCUGAACUCCUGUUGAGACCUCCCAUUGGCCAGACUCAGCUAAAAGCCAGAGAGCAAAGAAGUUCUUUGACCUAGUCUACACAGGCCAGCCUCCUGAAACACAGAUCAAGAAGGGUGCAGAAUGGAUCUUGAAGGGUAAACGAAAAACAGUCGGGACAAAAGCACAAUGAAAUUGACCAUCUGAAUACCUGUAUAUAAAACCUUGCAAGUUAAAGCAGGUUGUGCAAAACCAGAGUUAGGAGGAAAAUAGCAGGCUAAAAGUUAGAAGAGCUGAGCCCUGGUGACACCUUUGGUAUUUACAAUCAGUGUGACUUUGAGAAAGUGUCUUUGUUUACUCAAGCUUCUAUAUUAUUAAUUAAGAAUGAGGCUGGGCAUGGUGGCUCAUGCCUGUAAUCCUAGCACUUUGGGAGGUCGAAGUGGGUGGAUCACUUGAGCGCAGGAGUUUGAGACCAGCCUGGGCAACAUGCCAAGACCCUGUCUCUACCAAAAGAAUACAAAAAUUAACCAGGCCUGGUGGCACACACCUGUAGUCACAGCUACUCGGGAGGCUGAAAUAGGAGAAUCGCAUGCACCUGGGGAGGUCAAGGUUGCAGUGAGCCAUGAUUGUGCCACUGUACUCCAGCCUGGGUGACAGAGUGAGAUGCUGUCUUAAAAAAAAAAAAAAUUAACAGUGAAAUUUUUCUAGAAUAGAAGUCUCACACUGGAAGCCCUUGGAUCAAAUCUUAGUGGAGUAUAUUGUUUACAGAAUGUUUUAGACUAAAUCUGAAUAAUUCAAUAACAUUGAAAAAUUGAGGAAAAUUCAUAAAAUAAUGUGGAUUUCUAGCUUUCUUUGUGUUUUCGUUUGGCAACAAUUGUCUAAAGGCAAGGUCCUCACUCCCAUUUCUACACCGACCAUCCCUUCUGGCCCACUUCACUCAUUUCUGUUACCUGCCUGCAGCCCUGUGGGAACUGGUAUUUGCAACCUUGAAUAGCACUUUCAACUUUCAGGUUUAACAGUCUGUGAAAUUUAAGGCAUCACUGUAGGUUUUGACUAUGAACAUGGGCUUUCUGAGUUUUUUAAUCGAGGUGGAUUGGGAAGUUGGCAGGUGGCUUUUUGCAUAUCUUCCUUUACAUCUUAAACACAGCACAUAUGCAGUUUUAUGAAGCAUAUGGUCUUCCAUGUGCAUAACUACACUUUGUUGAUUUUUCCUUUUCCUAAGUUCUCCAAAAGCCCAGUAGAAUAAACACAAGCUGCCACUUGGAAAACAAUUCUGAAGAAAAGCCCAUCUGGGGAGAAAAAGUGAGGCAAUCCAAAAAGCCGCCAAGUGACCACAUUUCUGGAGUAAGUUUUUACAGUUCACAGAGACCAUGACUCUUUUCUCCCCUUGGCAUGAUAUAUGAUGAGCAUGGUGUCAAACAGCUCGUGGUGACAUUGCCUUUGCUCUUUGGGCUUGUGGCAGGGAAUGGGUGAAAAAGGCAAAUUCAACCUUUCUGUGGCAGACCUUGAUUGGAAACAACGUGUGAACAUUUUACCUGGUGAUGAGCCCUGAGUUUUACAUCAGCCAACAGCCAUGGCAGCAGAUGACAGAAAAAAACGGAAUCUUUUCCAGACUUGGAGAAAGAUAAAUCUGAAAAGGAGUUUUUCCCUAUAGACCAGCUCUGCUUAGGAGAUACUCACUGUGAGUUGUCAGAUCAGGGAACUUUGAGGUAAGCAUUAAUGAGAAUUGCACUAACUUUCCCUGAGGGACCAAGAAACUGGGAUUCUCUAGCCAACAUUUUGUCCUGAGAACGAUUGCUCACCCAGCUCCAUGGAGGAUUUUCCCUUCAGCCCAUCCCUCAGGGCUUACCCUGUGCACAGUUUCAGCUACUACUGGAAAAUGACUCAAAGAAUUAAAGUGUUGAAAUAGAUGCCCCUAACUCCUUUGCUAGAAUAAACAAGGAUUGUGGGUAGAAUGUAAAUUAUUAAAAUGCAUUAACUUUCUCCUGGACAAGUCUGGUGCUAAUCACCUUUGCCGCGAGGAAAGAUAAAUGGGUUGUGCGUGUUGCAGGCUGAACUGGCACCUGACGAAAUCGUGAAGUAGCAAAGUUUGUCUUGAUGAUUCCUGUUCCAGAACAUCUCCUAUUCCCUUUCUGGAGUCCUUUUGUUGUCCACCAUUUCCCAUUCCUGUGCCUUCCUGUUGCACACCUGAUACCUCCUAUUAGCUUUAUAUGCCUGUCUCCCCUCCAAGCGCAGCUGUCCCCUGGCCCUCAUCAAGGCUCACUUCUCCUCUGUGCCACUAUGUCAAUGAGAUUUCCUGAUGGAUAGGGUGAUCUAUAAUUUAGUAUCCAAAAUUGGACACGUUUGAGAGUAAAAGAGAGUUAAUAAUAAUCAUCAUAGUCUGUUUGGGCUGCUGUAAUAAAAUAGUAUGGACUGGGUAGCUUAUAAGUAACAGACAUGUCUUUCUUACAGUUCUGGGGCCUGGGAAGUCCAAGAUCAAGAUGCUGGCAGAUUCAGUGUCUGGUGAGGGCCUGCUUUCUGAUUCAUAGAUGGUGCCUUCUCACUGUGUCCUCACAUGGUGGAAGGAGCAAACAAGCCUCUUUGGGCCUCUUUUAUAAGGAAACGAUCCCAUUCAUGAGGGUGGAACCUUGCAAAAUGCCCCACCUUCUAAUACUAUCACCUUGGGAGCUAGAAUUUCAACCUAUGAAUUUUUAGGGGGACAUAAACUUCACAUGAUAUCAAUCAUUAUACCUACAUGACAACAUUUUAGUCCACCCCCAAGAGUAUAUUUGUAUUUCCACAGGGUCUUCUAAUGAUAUUUUGUCUUGACUCCGAAAGGGACCCUUAAGGUUGAAGAUUCUGAUAUUCUGACAUAGUAGCAGGUGAGCUCAACAAUUUGGGGGCAGGUAAGGCUUUUGUAGCAAAUCAGAGCAAACCAUGUAAGUGUCUAGGGAGUCCCAUUUAGAAAUAAAUAAAUCUAACACCUACCUUUGGAAACUUUUAGUUUAAUUUGGAAAGUCAGGACCAACAGGGAUGAAAAGUGUUUGAGACAGGUUUAGAGAAAAAAGUGAUGGGUGUCACUUUUUAAUUAAAACAAAUUUUAAACCUCCAUCCUCUUCACCCCUACAACAACAACAACAACAAAAUACUAAACUAUACUAUUUAUGGAGGUGGGAACUUACCUUCUAUGGGCUGGCAAAAGUAAGUAGAUUGACCAAAAAAUAGCAAGGAUUAUUAAUAAAUGCUAUGAGAGAAACAAACUAAGGGUGAAGACAACCAAGUAGGGCUACUUCAGGUACAGUCAAGAAAAGCCUCUCAGACAAGCUGGCAUUAGUCUUAGACCUGAAGUAUGAGGAUGGCCCAGCCAUGUGAAGAAGCAGGGGACAGCACCCAGGACAAGAAGGCAACACAUGCAAAGGCUGUGAUUCCUGGGGUGAGCUUGAGGUGCCUGGAGGAUGGUCAGGGAAAGAUAGUGUGGAACAAAGUAAAUUGGAAAGGCAGGCUGGAACCCUGAAAGUCUCCAUAGAGUCUGGAUUUUAUUCUAAGUGUAAUGAGGAUCACUUGAAGUUUAUGAAAUUUACAUAUGCUGAAAUGUACAGAGCUUGAGUGUGCCAUUCUACCAGGAGUGAUAAGUCCAUAUGCCCUACAACAAAUUCCCUAGUCACAACAUAGAAUAUUCCCAUCAACCCAGGAAGUUCCCUUAUGCCUUUUUCCAAUCAAUUACCACCCCCAAUAGGCAAUCACUCUUCUGAUUUCCAUCACCAUAUAUAUGUUUUGCCUAUUCUUAACUUCAUAUAAAUAAAAUCAUACACUAUGUAUUGUUUUGUGUCUCGCUUUCCCUCAGCAUAGUGUUUUUGAGAUUCAUCCAAGUUGUUCAUUCCUUUGUAUUGCUAAGUAACAUUCUAUUGUAUAAAUGUUCAUAAUUGGCUUAUCCAUUCUGUUGAAGGGCUUCCCCCAGCCCCCAGGUUUUGGCCAUUAUAAAUAAAGCUGCUAUAAACAUUUCUAUAUAAGUCUUUUUGAGGACUUCUCCUAGGUAAAUAACUAGGAGUGGAAUUGCUGGAUCACAGACUAGGUAUAUUAUUAUUUUCUUUUAUGUUUUGAAUUAAUUAGCUUUAUUGUGGUAUAAUUUACAUACAAUAAAAUUCACCCUAUUUUAAGUAAAUUAUUUGAUGAGUUUUGACAAAUACAUGCAGUGUGUAACCAUCACCACCAUCAUAAUAUAGAACUUUUACAUCAUUCCCCAAAUUUUCUCAUGCCUCUUUGCAAUCAAUGUCCUUCCCCUACUCAUUGUCCUUGGCAGUCAUUGAUUUGCUCUCUGUCAUCACAGUUUUACAUUUCCUAGACUUUCAUAUAUUAAUGAAAUCAUAUGUUAUACUGUCUUUUAUGUCUCACUUCUUUUACUUAUAAUGCUUUUGAUAUUUAUCCAUAUUGAUACAUGUAUUACUAGUUCACUCCUUUAAAUUGCUGAGUAGUAUUCCAUUGUAUGGAUAUGAUACCAUUUGUUCAUCCAUUCAUUCAUCAGUUGAUACACAUUUAGGAUGUUUUCAGUUUGGGGCUGUUAUGAAAAAAGUUGCUAUAAAUAUUUAAAUAUGAUUUUUAAGAGUGAAAUUGCUUAGUUAUGUGCUAAGUAUAUGUUAACUUAUAUGAAAGUGAAAAAUAUAUUCCAAUGUAGCUGUUCAUUUUACAUUUCCACUAGCAAUGCCAGAGAGUUCCAGGGGCCUCACAACCUUCUUAAAUUUUGACAAUUCUAGGCCGGGCACAGUGGCUUAUGCCUGUAAUCACAGCAGUUUGUGGGAGGCCAAGGAGGGAGGAUUGUUUGAGCCUAGGAGUUUGAGACUAGCCUGAGCAACAUAGUGAGACCCCAUCUCUACUAAAAAUAUAAAAUAAAAUAAAAUAAAAUUUGACCAUUCUAGUUAGUGUGUAGCAGAAUGUUAUUUGAUUUGGCUUUUGACAAUUUGAUUAUGGUUUCUCUAGGUGUCAGUCUCUUUGGCUUUAUCUUACUUGGAGUUUGUUGAGCUUCUUGGAUAUGUAGGUUAAUGUCAUUGUUGGUUUUUUUUUUUCGUCAAAUGGAAAAUUUGGUGAUUAUUUCUCCAAAUACUCUUUCUACCCCUUACCUACCUUGUCCCCACUCCCAUUUGGCAUCUCUUGGUAUGCUUGGUGUUAUUUCAUGGGUCUCUGAUGUUCUGUUGAUUUUCCUCCAUUUUCUUCCCUUUUUAUUCUUCAGACUGAGUCAUUUCAAUUGACCUAUCAAGAUGCUAAUUAAUAUUUGCAAAUUCUUUCUUUAGCCAGUUCACAUAUGUGGUAGAGCCCCUCUGGUGGAUUUUCGCUUCAGCUAUUAUGCUUUUCUACUCCAGAACUUGUAUUUGGUUCUUUUACAUAAUUUCUAUCUCCUUAGUGAUAGUCUCUAUUUGGUGAGCUAUUAGUCUCAUAAUUUCCUUUAGUUUUUUGGACAUGGCAUAUUUUAGUUCUUUAAAGACAUUUAAAAUAACUGAUUUAAAUUAUUUGUCUAGUAAGUCUAAUGUCUGUGCUUUUUCAGACAGUUUCUAUUGUUUGCUUUUUUUCCCUGUAUAUGGGUCAUAUUUUCUUAUUUCUUUACAUAUUUCAUAAUUUUUUGAAAACUGUUAUUUUAAAUAACAUAAUGCUGCAAAUCUGGAAGUCAGUUUCUCUCCCCUUUCUAGGAUUUUUUGUUGUUGUUGCUGCUUUCUGUUGUAGUUAUUGUUUGUUUAAUGAACUUUACUGACCUAAUUCUAUCAAAUCUGCAUUCUUUGUUGAGGGUGGCCACUGAAGUCACAGCUUAAUUAGCUUACUGGACAGCUAAUGACUGUGCAAAUAUUGUCUUAAGUGCCUAGAACAAAUAAGUCACCCAGUUUUUGCAAAGCAGCUAUGUGUGAAUACAGGAGCAUUCUCUGAACACUUAGCAAGAGAGUUGACAGCUCCACCUCAGCCCUCAAUUUUCUCUUUCAUGGAGCCUCAUGGUCAGCCAGAAGUGAGAGCUUAGGGCCUUCUCAGGCCUUUCCUGUCACUGUCCCAUGCACAUGGCUUCUUAGAUAUUCAGGAAUAUGUCAGAGCUUUUCAGAGCCCCUAUGGACAUCUCAUUCCUCAGAUUUUCCCUUUAGGCUCUUUGGUUAAUCAAUUGUUUGCCCAAGCUUUAUCCAGUACCUCAGACAGCCAUGAUGAUAAGCAGCUGCCAGUAACUAUCUCUGACAAAUGCCCCCAGGGAGGCACUGGCUGCGCUCUGACUCAGGUAAAUAAAUACAGCCUUGCUAUUGAAGUCUUCCAGGGAACCACCAGACAGGUCAAAUGACAAUUCUCUGGGAGUGGGAUUUUAAAGGAGCUCUAACCCUACCUAUUCUGCCCCUUCCAGUGGCUGCCAGGUUGCUGGUUUUCACUGUGAUGUGGGGCUGUUAGUUUUCAAGGCUAAAGUGAAGCUGGAGAAUGGGGAUGGGAGUAGGUCAACUUACAAUGCCACAAAGCUCAUUGUUCUUCAUAAGGUUCACCUGUUUUUCUUGAAUAACUGCUUCCCAGAUUCACACAAGACUUUGGUUAAUUCCUAGAAUUCUGAAAGAGUUAAUCCUGACCAUUAUUGCAAGUUUUCUCAUUGCUUUUACAGAGGAAUUUUCAAAGACGCUUACUUUGCCAUUUUUCUCACUUGGCUUUAUUUUGCAUUGUCCUAAUGACUGAUGAUAUUGAAGAGCUUUUCAUAUGCUUUUUUGUCAUUCUCAUAGACUGGGGAAACAUCUGCCUAAAUCUUUUUACAUUAAAAAAUUACAUUACAUUCUUGUUAAUGAGUUUUGAAAAUUCUUUCUAUAUUUUGUAUACAAACAUAUCUCUCUACCAGAGAUAUGUUUGGCCAAUAUUUUCUCCCAGUUUGUAGCAUGUAUUUUCAGUUUUGUAACGGUAUAUUUUAUAAAGCAAUUUAUUUUUAUUUGGCUGAAGUCUAAUUUAUCAUUUUUUUUUCCUUUUAUGGUUAAUGCCUGUGUCCUGUCUAAGAAAUCCUUCCCUAACCUAAGGUCACAAGGUUUUCUUCUAGAAGUCUUAUAAUGUUAGUUUUAUGAUUAGGUUUAUGAUCCACUUUGAGUUAAUUUUUGUAUCUGGUGUGAGGUUCAUUUUUGUAAAGGUAUAUUCACUUGUUCAUGAACCAUUUAUUGAAAAGACUAUCCUGCUCCUCAUUAAAUGUCUUUCACACCUUUAUCAAAAAUCAAUUUACCAUAUGUAGUGAUUCUAUUUCUGGAUCCUCUAUUCUGUCUCAUUUUUGUGUAUGUCUAUGCUUACACCAUUAUCACACUGUUUAAUUAAAAUAGUAAGUCUUGAAAUUAUAUGGUAUAAGUCUUCUAAUUUUGUUUUUUUUUUUUUGAUAGGUGCAUAUUUAUAAAAAACUUCCCACAGUAUUCCAAAGUAGAUGUGCCAUUUUAUCCUCCAAACAGCAAUGUAUUAGAGUUCCAGUGGUUUCCAAAGCCCCUGUCAACAUUUGGAUUGUCCGUCUUUUUUGAUUUUAGCCAUCCUAAUGGCAAAAGCCAUCUCCCAUGUAACCACAUGCUUCAGGAGAAGCUGACCCUACACCUAGCUCCACUGGUGAGUCUAAUUGGUCCAAGGGUCGUCUUGGUCCCUUUGCCAGAGAUUGGCUUAUGGGGUGAAUGAUCCAACUCCAGCCAAUGAAACAUUAGGGGAAUCUGCUGAAGGAUUUCCAAAAAGAGUUUCCUCAUUCCAAACAGAAAACCAUAAGAAAGGAAUGUCAUGCCUAUAAUUGCUGCAGCUAUUUUAAUUCCAAGUAUGAGGUUGAAACAAUCAUGGAUGGCCAAGUGAAGAGAUGGAAAAAGCAGGAUUCAGGAUAACUUUGUGAGUUGCUAAGUUACCAGCCCCUGCCCUACUUCUGGACUUCUGAAAUAUGAUAUGAUACUUGCUUUCUUACUUAAGUUGGGUUUUUCUGUUACUUAUAGCCAAUGACACUCCGAUAUGCCAUGAAAUUUAAGAAUGUGAAGUAAUGGCCUUGACUUUCGCAGAACUGGAAGGAGUGUGACUGCCAUGUCACUUACUGUCACUAUCACUUGUUUGACAAUUACGGCUGCUAUUUAUCUUACCUUGUGUUGUUGCUUAUCCUUCCAUAUGAUUAUGUUGAAUAUCCAUCUAAUCUGGAACUUUAAAAAAUCAAAGUCAGUGAUAGAUCUUUUACUUCUUUGUAGGCCCAUAAUCCAUUACAUAACCCACACAUUUUUGUCAAUUAUUGACUUCCCCCUUAUUCUACCCACAUAGAUUUUUUUGGAAGAUGACCAAAAUGCUAUCUCUAUUUGGAGAUAAUAAUUAGUCUCAUCUUCAUUGGCUUCUUCUCGAAUGCGGAGGGAAUUAUCGGAUGAGUACAUUGGAACAUGGUCGCCAUGUGGCCUGCUGCCCCCGUGUACCACUUGGAGACCAGCCUAGCAUGGAAAUGACCAGAUGUUGGAAGCUGAGCUACUGCUCAAGGUAUUAAUGCUUGAAAGAUAUUCCAUGUUUGAAGGGAUUUUUGUGGUGCUGGCCUACAAGUUGACCUUUUUGACGUGAAUAAGAAACAUUCUUCAAAACUGUGGUUGACAUCCAAGCUUGCUGUCAUGUUUUGAACUGCCCUAUGGAGAAAGCAACAUGGCUAAGAAUAUGAGAGAGCCAACAGGACAAUGAGGACCUCAAUACAGCAAGAAACCAAAUCCUGCCAACAACCAUUUCUCAGAUUCUGAAGACCAGGACUCCUCAUGAAUCUGUCAGCCCCCCUCACCCCAGCUCUGGGCCUCUGUGUCACCACCACUGCCACCUCAUCAUUAUUUUAUUUCAUGCCAGUCACUAGACUAAACACCUUACAGGCUUUAUCACAUUUAAUUCCUUCAGCAACACCAACAGGCACUCACAUCUCUACCCCACCAGCAGCGUCUUAGAGGCAGUGAGAACUCUAUUUUAGAAGGCUCGCAGGCACAAUGCAUCAUUCUGAGUGUGUGCUGGGCUCCUCGGCUUAUAUUCCAAACAUGCUGUGAAUGCUCAAUUGCAACCACUGGGUUUCUUCAACCUGACUUGCAAUCAAAUGGAUAUCGUUUGUGCGGGGGUGGUAGAAAGUGAGUAAUGGUGUGUAGUUUCAUGGAGAUGCUUGUUCUAAUAAAAUAUUUCAAGGUCCAGUGUUCCAAAUCUCAUUACAAUUUUGCUAUGAAAAGAAAUGGGGUAUGUAUGUGUGUGUAUUUGUGAGAAACUGGUAACAGGUAAGGUUUCUUUCUUUCUUUCUUUCUUUCUUUUUUUUUUUUUGAGACAGAAUCUUGCUCUGUCACCAGGCUGGAGUGCAGUGGCACAAUCUCAGCUCACUUCAACCUCCGCCUCCCAAAUUCAAGCGAUUCUCCUGCCUCAGCCUUCCAAGUAGCUGGGACUACAGGUGCACGCCACCACACCCAGCUAUUUUUUGUGUUUUUAGUAGAGACGAGGUUUCACCAUAUUGGCCAGGAUGGUCUCAAUCUCCUGACCUUGUGAUCGGCCCACCUCAGCCUCCCAAAAUGCUGGGAUUACAGGUUUGAGCCACCACACCUGGCCUAUUUCUUAAUCUGUUAGGAAAACAGAAAACAGCCCGGGAAAAGAAAGAAAACAGAAGUCAAGACGUCCCAUCUGUGAUACAGAAUAACCCAUGACUUAAGAAUAUUUCAUGUAAUGACUUCAAACUACAGUAAGACUUCAGUACUUAAGAGCAUAGAUGUUGGAGUGAGAUGGUUGGGUCUAAAUCUUGGCUCCACCAUUCAUUGGCUCUGUGUCUUUGGGAACCUUCCAUAACCUCUGUAAGUCUCAGCCUCCUUGUCUGUAAACUGAAAGUAAUAAUAGUCCUUCCAUCAUUAGGCUGUUGCAAAGAUAAAAUGAAAUAGUGUAUGUAAAAGUACUUGCAUGCCUGGCACAUAGUAGGAGCUCAAUAACUGUUAGUUUUCCAUUCAUCAGGUUUUCAUUCAAAAAACAUUUAUGAAGUGCCUGUUACAUGUCAAGCACCAUUUUUACGUACUUAUGAAAAAGCAGUGCACAAACAGACAGGAAUCCCUACCUUUAUAUCUAACGGGGUCAAGCAAGUAAAACGCAACUGAUAUGAAGUGGUGUUGAGUACUUUGGAAAAAAUGAAGCUGGGCAACAGCGCUAGGUAAUGGCAGAGUGAGCAGGGGUCAUUUUCCUGCUGCCCCUGAGCUGCAUGAGGAUUGCAGUCUGGGACAUAAGGAGUGGUGUGGGAAUGUUGAGUGUCUUGUAAUGAUAGAAGAAAACUGGGAAAAGAGGCAUAAAGAAAUUAGCACUGACCUAAUGAUGUCAAGGCAGAGAAUAUUAGUUAAUGGAAGCUUGGGAAGAAGUGGCUUUAUAGAUGAUGAUUAUUAUCUUUACUAUAAAAGGCUCCCCAGCUUGGGAUCAAUGGAUGAGAUAAAGGGGGCAUCUGGAACUCCUGAAUUUUUAUGUAAAAUUAUAUACAUAUGGGUAGGUAUGUGCAAGGAGAAAUUUCAUACAUUUUAUCCCAUUCUCAAAGGGACCGAAGACCAAAACAGAGUUAGGACUGCUUAUCUCCUUGGUUCAUAAGAAGGUGGCCACACUGAACAGUGUCAGUUGACACCUUUUGUCCUUGCAAGAGUAUGAAUGAUGCUCCCUUUCAUCCUCCAAGCUGUGGAGAUAAUUUUAGGGUCUCCUGAGCUGUAAGGCUCCUACCUUACUUCUUUGUUUGAUGCAUCCCUACAUCUCUUAGACGGUAUUCAGCCCUGGGUUGAGAAAAAGAGUCUAGAACACCUUUCAAAUGGAAUAUUGGGAGCACAGGUUGUACAGCUCACUAUAUGCCUAGGCUGAUGUCCUUGGGUGUUCCCUGACCACAGAGGAGAGGACAGGAGUGGCUCCCCUUUAGGAAUCGGGGUAAGUUUCCAGAGGAUUCCUUCCAACAUGCUCUUUCCCAUAAGUUCGCUUUCACGCGCUCCCUCAUUUCCCAAACUGAAACUGUAACAGUGUGCCAACUUGGCUGUAGGCAGGACAAAGCAAAAAACAAAGCACCCGGACAACCAAUAAGAUAGAUGAUGAGAGCUGGGGGCCCCUAACACUGGGAACUUGGGUGGCAAAAAUCCCAGAUCUUUUUCCACUGGACUAAGCUUGAGGUAUGUGUCUGAGUGUCCAAGAAGUUUAUUGAAAAUGGUGACUGGAAGAUCCUUCCCUUCUAGGCACUUAAAAUGUCUGAAUUUUGCUUCCUUAUCAGCAAAACGAACAGAGGUAAAUGGAAAGUAAAUGUUAAGCUGCAUAAAGAGCCAACAGAAUUAAAUAUAGAUGAGUGACCUAAUUCUAGCAUCCCCACUCCUGACUUUCUACUUCAUUUCUUUUUGGUCUCCUUAUGUGGCUACCACUUUCCCUGAACAAGAAAGACUUUGGUUAAUGACUUUGGACUCUUUUGGGUCUUCUGACCUUGGAGCAGCCAGAAAAUAGAGCUGUGUUCAUAAAAGAGAGAGAAAAAGAAGAAAAAAAGCAAGAAACUGGGAAUUGGAGUGUCCAUUGAGUGUCCAUUGGAGUGACCCUCUUGGUCAUUUUUGGAAGGCUCAUUGUUUAAGUUUGGAAGUCUAAGGCCAUCGGUGGAUCAUGUUACAUUUGCUGCAUGGCUUUGGUAUUAUAAGUGUAAACCCACUAGUGGUGGGCUUUCCAAAUGAUUCAAAUUUAUUAUAAAAUUAUUGGACAUAACAAAAGAUUAUCCAAUAUGAAACUAUCUAAUCUGACUAAACCAAACAUUUUCUUAAGAUAUACCACAACAUAGGCACAUACAGAUUCCUUUGGGAGAGAAGAGGCCACAGCACCCCAAUCCGUCUACAUGGUAUUGUGAUGGCUCAUGUGGGUGUGGCUUGAAGUUCUGGAUGCUCUCUCACUCAGAAGCCACCUAGAACAGUGCUGAGGAUGGGAUCUUGGAUGAGGUCCAGAGUUCCCAGUCCGAGACUGCACCUUCAAGUGCCAGGACAGUGGAAGCAAGUGUCAUGAAGCUGUGGAAGCUCAGGGCUCUUAUACUUGGUAAACCCUGCUGGAUAUGACCAGUGUGCAUGCUGGCUCUUCUACCCCCACCCAUCAGGCUGUAGACUUUACGUUUACACAAAUCAGGCAAUCCUAAUAUGUUGAUCCUGAUACUAUGCAGUGGCCCUCGAUGGGAUGUCGGCAGCUCUAUUAGAUUGAUACAAUAAAGUAUUAUGGGACUCAGAGUCAUAAUUGAACAUAUACACCAUACUGUGCAGAGGUCAUGGGUCAAAUUGAGUCAAAAAAUGUUUUUUUUUCUACUUUUGUGUCGUUUUUGCCUUCACAGUGGGUUUGUUUGCUUGUUUUUGACACUCACAUUUUAAAACCAUGAGACUGCAUAUGACAAUGCAAUUUCUGGUUUUGUGUAUAUGUGUGUGUUUUUUUAAACAGAAGAUAUAGGUUUCCUAGGCCCUCAUUAUCACACACCAAACAGGAGCAGACAUUUGCUUUCCAUUUGGCUCCUGUUUCUACCUGGCACAGUCCUCUGUCCCUGCAGGCAUGUCACUCUGCUGCCUUGAUUUGGAAGCCUAGAUUCUCCUACAGUCUCAGGUCCAGACUGGUGAUGUCCAAGACUCCAUUUAAGGAAGGACCUUCCCAAUGACCUUCUCUACCCUUUCCGGAUGGUAGUAUCCGUGGCUGCUACCUGCAGGACUUGGCACAUCACAGAGAGACUGUGAUGAGAGCCCACGACUCCCUUAAGAUGAAGGCACUAGUGUUAGAGCACCCCAUGAGUAAAGGGGAAGUGUCUUAGUCUAUUUGUGCUGUUAUAACAAAAUACUGUAGACUGGGUAAUUUAUAAACAACAGAAAUUUAUUGCUUACAGUUCUGGAGGCUGGGAAGUCCAAGAUCAAGAAACCAGCACAUUCAGUGCUUGGGGAGGGCCUGUUCCUCAUUGGUGGCACCUUUUGUGUGUCCUCACAUGAUGGAAGGGCAAAGCAGUUCUCUAGGGCUCUUCAAUAAGGGCACUAAUCCCAUUCACAAGGACAGAACCCUCAUUACCUAAUUACCUCCCAAAGGCCCUGCCUUCUAAUAUUAUCAGCUUGGUGAUUAGUUUUCACUCUAUGAAUUUUAGGUGGACACAACAUUCAGAACAUGGAAGGAGGGGAAGCCUUGGCUUUUCUUUUCCUUUUUGUUUUUGGAAUGGAGUCUUCCUCUGUCACCCAGGCUGGAGUGCAAUGGUGAGAUCUUGGCUCACUGCACCCGCCACCUCCCAGGUUCAAGCAAUUCUCCAGCCUUAGCCUCCCGAGUAGCUGAAAUUACAGGCACCCACCAUCACACCCAUCUAAUUUUUGUAUUUUUAGUAGAGACAGGAUUUCGCCAUGUUGGCCAGGCUGGUCGUGAACUCCUGACCUCAGGUGACCCACCCGCCUCGGCCUCCCAAAGUGCUGGGAUUACAGGUGUGAACCACUGUGCCUGGCUGCCUCAGCUUUUCUAUCUCAAAAGCUUAUUGGUAAUUUUCUCCUCUAACUUCCUCACUCAUAGAUGUGAAAACGCAAACCCAGAAAAGUUCCAUGGUUGUUCCAAAGUCCCACACCGAGCCAGCAGUAGAUCCAGGAUGAAGGUAGAGGUCUUCUGAUCCUUGGUCCAGAUGAUUUCCCUGCUCCUUUUCCCUUGUCAGUGUGUUAUUCUGGGAUGAAGCCAUCACUCUGUCUGCCCUCACAACAGAAGCUUCUUCAUUUGUGUUCACUUUCUUUCUCCCUGCUGGUCAGUGGUCUUGAAUUUCACUAAGUACUGCAGGUGUGAAUUGCCUUGGGUUACAUCUUUUGGAUGGAGUCUAUGGCAGUCAAUAUUUUCUCAGGAUGCUAUCUCUCAGCAAGACUUAAGCCAAUAAAUGGCAAGCGGGCAAUCAACAAGGACUUAUUAAUCCCCUGAUCUUUGUUCAGCACCACAGGCUUUCUGAAGAACUAUUAUAUUUAAUUCCUUCUGUAGCAAGUAACAGACACCCUUGUCAAAGUUGCUUAAGCAAAGGAAGAAUUUAUUGGCCCCAGAAUAAAAUAUCAAGUCAUGGGAAGGGGAGGGCCAUAGCUGGGCCUUGAGAAAAGUAAAGUAGAACUUCAGCAAGAUCAAUAUUCUCUGUUUAUAUCUCACAUCUGCUUUUUACUGUAUGUUGGGCUUAUUCUCCAUAUGAUAGAAAAAUGUCCACCAAUGUUUCCUGAUUGUAUUCUCUCUACUUUGGCCAUGGGAAAGAAAAGACUUCCUCAUUCUGGGUCCUCCAAGCCUAUGGAAAUUCUCUGAUUGGUCUGACCUAAUUCAGGUGCCUAUCCCUGGACCAAUCAACUAUGGUGUGGAUGGAAGUGAAGGAGAUACUCAGGUCAAUCAGCUGUGACCUGAGGCGGCCCAUGUUGUACUAAGAGGACAGCUUCCACCAUAACUAUAUGGAAGUGGAAUGAGUUGAAGGUGCAGAAGCCUGUCUCAGAAAAAAAAAAAAAAAGGAUGAGAGUCUUAAGAAGACUAAACAUUGCAUCCAGUACAUCUGCAUAUAGGAUUUUAUAAUUGAAUAGGGAGUUAAGAAUUACAUAUAGAAACAGCAGUGAUAAAAGACUGUUGUGUUACUGAUUGUGAGAUGAAGCAGAGGCUCCUUAUAGGGACCUGCUGGAUUUCCCCACCCCCUUCAAAGUAUGAAAAUAAAGAAAGAUUUGAAUCCCUUCAAGGGAGAUUCUAGGCACCUAGCUUGCCCUGCCACCAGCAAUUAAGGAAGUGAGUGAAUAACCCACUAAGCAAGAAGGUAAUAAUAAUGUAAACAAUAGUCACUCAAGUAAGUUAGAGUCACAUGAUGUUUGGUUUCCUAUAGAAACAAAAGCUAACAUCUUAACAUAUAUUCUUGAGUUGUUUUGAGUUGUUUUUCAGAAAUCUGGACCCUCCCACCAAAUGUAAAAUGUUGACUGCUGUGUGUAGACCUCAGAAAAUUGGGAACUGAGGACUUAACUCCAACUGCCAUUCUUUGUUCUGUCUUUUUUUUCCCUAAGGAGCCUGGAGAGAGUCACACCCAUAGGCCAAAUCUUAACAUUCCUUUCUGCUGACCCCGAGUUUUUAGACGAGCCUUCCUUAACCAAUUGCAAAUCGAAGAAUCUACCUAUGACCUGUAAGCUCUCACAUCAAGAUGAAACCACCACUGCAAAAUUAUAAGUGAGACAGUGAAAGAGAUCUGACUUAACCAACUCCAUCUCCCUUCUAACCUGCAAGCUGUCCUUUUUCAUUCCUGGGCAUAGGCUGAACUAACUUUGGGAUGAAUUUAGCUUAUAGUUUAUAGUUUAGAACAAAGACAGUAACAGCCCUUUCCCAAAACAAACCCCCUUCUUGCUUGGGGACUAGACUGCCUUUGUAGGACUAACAAAUUAGCCAAAAGAUUAGAAAUUAUGGUUUAGCAGUCAUGCAGCUGAAGGCUACAAGAUUCUGACCCUUCCCAAAUUGCUCCUGGGGAUAACAUCACUAUUAUAAAGCCUAAGAUCAGGGUUUGAGAUAUUUUGCAGAUUCUUCACUCAAUGGAUCAGCUGGUACCACCCAGAUUGAUAAACUGGUUCAUCUCAUCUUGUGGCCCCCACCCAGGGACUGACUCAGUGCAGCUUCAACUCCCUAUGAUUUCAUCUCCAGCCCAAUCAGUUAGCACUCUUGACUCACUGGCUGCCCCCCAUCCACCAAAUUAUUCUUAAAAACUCUCAUCCCCAAAUGUUCAGGAGACUGAUUUGAGUAAUCAUAAAACUCCAGUGUCCUGCACAGCCAGCUCUGCAUGAAUUACUCUUUCUCUAUUGCCGUUCCUCUUUCUUGAUAAAUUGGCUCUGUUGAGGCAGUGGGUAAGGUGAACCCAUUGGGUGGUUACAAAGAUACUCCCCCUUUUUGGGCCAAACAAAUGUAUAACCACUGUGUAUCAAGCUAUAAUUUUCCCUGUAACUUCUACUUUCUUGAAAUAUACCCCUACCUUUAAAAACCAUUCCUUGUAAGUCACUGGGGAGUUUGUGUCCUAAUCAUCAACUGCCUGAUUCUUCCUGCUUGAUGCCCUGCAAUAAAUGCCUCACUUUCUCUUGCAGCAAAUCCUGGUAUCAUUAUUUGGCUUUUUUUGUGCACUAGGCGAGUAGACCCAAGUUCCAUUCUGUACCAAUUUUUAGAAAUAAGUGUGCAAAAUGGGCUGGUAUCAAGAGUGACACCAUCUAGUGCUGGCUUUUUCAAAUUGAAAUAGUGGGAUAGAAGAAACUUGAAAUAAACAUGAUUCUUUCUCCAGGAGUUUCAAUUUUACACAAAAUCAGGGUGAGUUCAUUAAAAGCAACACAAAACACAGAAAUAUAGAGGAUGGUACAAAAUUUGUAUGAUGCUUAAAAUAAAUGUACAGUUUUAAAACUAAAAAUUCAAUCUU